UAUUGCAGCCAGGAAACCGCAUUAAACGGGUGGCUGCCCCAAACCUUUUCACGCCUCUGGUCUCCAGUUAUUACAAGCUCUUUGCAGGCCUGUCCAGUCCAACAAUAUGGACACUACACAAACUGGGUAUUUAAAUCAGCAGGAAAAGGCCAUUGCAUUCAAUUCUGUUAAUUUUCCUGCUUGUGAUGAAAAUUUCACCAGUUGUACUUGAAACUCAGUUACAGGAAUAAUCAUAUUAUCUAUUAAAUGCAUGUGACUAGCAAUCCAAAGUCUCCAUGAACAGUUUGUUUAAAAUUAUUAAAGUUGUUUAAUUGUAUGUUUUGGUUUUCAUUAAAAGAUGAUUGUCCAGCAUCUUUACCAGGAACACUUAUCACAACAGAAAAACUAGCUGGAACGAUCAUCAGUUCAUUUCUAGGGGUGUUCUUGUAGCAGUGAUUGCAUUUCUUGUUGCAAACAGCAUCAGGAGGGGCCCACUUUGCAGAAAUGUUUCAAAUAUUAAAGCAGACAUCAACGAGAACCCAACCGGCACUUAUGAAAAUGUGCACAACACAAAUAGAAUGGAUGAAGAUCCUUCUCUUCCAAGUCCUUCCACAGAUCAACUUUACAUGGGUCUGCAGCCUCGACAGCAGUCAGUCUACCACUCUCUCCAAGGAAAAUGCCUGCUUAGCAUAAGAUGGAGAAAUGUUUAUAUUGGGACAGUCAUUUGUGAUCACUAGACAGCUCCUUCAGUAGCAGUUACAGGAAAUAUGCAAUAUUGCUAUGUUUUAUUAUUGUGUUUUAAAAGAUUUUAAGCCAUAAUGAUGACAUAUUUUUCUAAACCUUAAACACACUUUUAAAUCUUAGCAAAGUCAAAACGACUCACAUUCAUGGUGUCUUCCAUUACAGCUUCAUGAGUUGUCAUGGCCUACACUUCUUUAAACAGUAGUCAUGGUGUUGCUACUGCUAUUUAAUGCUUUAAUGGUCACAAAGUUGAAGGCCAUUGUAAAAUAUCUCUUUCACAUUUGACAAAACACUUUACUGCCUAUAUGUUAGGCAUCUGAGGGGCACAUAAACUUUGUAUUAAGAUACCUUGAAGAUCAGGAUUGGAAUCAAAUAAUCCAACUACUAUUUAUGUUUGAUGUGCUUCUCUUUGUAUAAGGCCAUUGAGGAUACUCAGGCUCUUCUUCAAAUGCAAGCAUUUUAAAACAAUUAAUCUCAUAUUUUCUAAAAAUUGUUUUUCAAUGGAAACAGAUUUUCAAAUAUGACUCAUCUACUGCAAAAGAUUUAUAUACAGUACGGCAAAACGCAAGAUUUCUAUAUUUUGCUGAGGCCAGCUAAUGUGAACAUUAAAGAUUUGUAAUGAUGGUGUAACUUUGAAAUAAAAGCAGCUGCUGAAUCCCCAGUGGUGGGAUGAGCUAGCAGUGGAGGCCAGAAGAGGAGAUAGAACAGCAAGCGGAAUUGGUACCUGACUUUUGUGGAACCCACGUACUCCAAGC